rnacentral:rRNA from 1 species
AGCGAACGCUGGCGGCAGGCCUAACACAUGCAAGUCGAACGAACCUUUCGGGGUUAGUGGCGGACGGGUGAGUAACACGUGGGAACGUGCCUUUAGGUUCGGAAUAACUCAGGGAAACUUGUGCUAAUACCGAAUGUGCCCUUCGGGGGAAAGAUUAAUCGCCUUUAGAGCGGCCCGCGUCUGAUUAGCUAGUUGGUUGAGGUAAUGGCUCACCAAGGCGACGAUCAGUAGCUGGUCUGAGAGGAUGAUCAGCCACAUUGGGACUGAGACACGGCCCAAACUCCUACGGGAGGCAGCAGUGGGGAAUCUUGCGCAAUGGGCGAAAGCCUGACGCAGCCAUGCCGCGUGAAUGAUGAAGGUCUUAGGAUUGUAAAAUUCUUUCACCGGGGACGAUAAUGACGGUACCAGGAGAAGAAGCCCCGGCUAACUUCGUG